UAUGUGAUCGUCUCUCGCAUAUCAAUAAGCGGAGGAAAAGAAACUAACAAGGAUUCCCCUAGUAACGGCGAGUGAAGCGGGAAGAGCUCAAAUUUGAAAUCUUAAAGGGUUUCCCUUUACGAAUUGUAGUUUAAAGAAGUGUUUUCUGCUGAGGUUUUGGUAAAAGUUCUUUGGAAUAGGACAUCAUAGAGGGUGAGAAUCCCGUAUUUGACCUUUACUUUCAACUUUGUGAUACACUUUCAAAGAGUCGGAUUGUUUGGGAAUGCAGUCCAAAAUGGGUGGUAAAUUUCAUCUAAAGCUAAAUAUUGGCGAGAGACCGAUAGCGAACAAGUACCGUGAGGGAAAGAUGAAAAGAACUUUGAAAAGAGAGUUAAACAGGUACGUGAAAUUGUCAAAAGGGAAGCGUUUGACACCAGUGUUGUUUUUCUGAAAAUCAAUUAAAGAACUGUUUAUGCUAAGCUGUUUAGACUUUAUCAGCUAUCUGUUUAGUUUUGAGCUUUUCUUUAAUGCACUUUUCAGUUAACAAGUCAACAUCAAUUUCUUUUGCUGUAAGAAAGCUUGAGGAAGGUGGCUUGAGAUUCGUCUUAAGUGUUUAUAGCCUCUUGCCUAUGCAGUCGGAGAGAUUGAGGUCUGCAGCGUAGAUCCUUCGGGGCUAAAUGCAUUUGUGCUAAGUUAUAGCAUUUUAUAGACAACUUGUUGACUAUGAUUUGUCUUGUAGCCUACUCGCUUAUGUUAUUUUACCUACGCUUAGGAUGUUGAGCGCAUGUCUCUCUCU
rnacentral:rRNA from 1 species